AAACACAAACUUCUAUAUAAACUCAUUAAUAUAACUCUAAAAUUUACAAAACACUUACCGCUUUCUUCUCAACAAAGUUUUUUGAAUUAUGGAUUCUCGAAACCACCCUCAACCUCAACCCCACCAUCACCAACCACCACUACCACCCCAAUCCCAUGAACUUGAAAACCCAGACAUUGAUAUAGUACACGCAACAGUCACUUUUAACCGACACCAACUACCGAAUCUCUAAAAAAAGUCCUCUUAGUUCAGGUUCUACUCCUACUCCAUUGGUGAAUCAAGCAGAUUCUGCUGCUAUUGCUCCUUCUCCUUCAAAAAACCAGUUAAGAAAGCCUGUAGAAGGCCCCCGGCUCUGGAAAGAAGCAACACCCAAUUUUUUUAGGUAUGUAUUGUAUAUGUAAUUUCUUGCUUAUGAAUCUAGCUCUAGUUUGGGAAUAUAUAUUUAUAUUGAUGAUUAAAAAACUUUAAAUUAUAUAUAUUUAUAUCAUAAGCAACCUCUCUACCUCCCGAGGUAUGGAUAAGAUCUUUGUAUACUUACAUUAUGGGUACGUUAUUGUUGUUGAUAUUUAUCUGUUGAUAAAAGAACAAUUUUGUUAUAAAUCAUAUUGAUUUUGGCGCACCUGCUUCACAGAACCCGACUAAGAAGGCCCGUGGGAGGGCCCCAGGCUCCGGAA
rnacentral:lncRNA from 1 species